AGUCACACACACAGGCUAGUGUCUCCGGUUUUCUCUGCCCUUAUUUGCACUGCCUGGGUAAUGAUGAUGGUGAGCGUGUCGUAGGGUGUCCUCAAGUGGCUUCUUUCACUGCUGCCUGUUUGAGCUUAUUAGUUAGUGCCCUUCUGUACAGUCAUUGAUGCCAGUCCUCGGGACAUAUGCUGGAUGUACAGGGCUCGUGGCCCGGUCCCUGCAGAGUAACACCUCCCCCUGUAGGAUCAAGGCGAGGACAUCAACCCAGAAACCUCGAAUGCCUGGCUGAAUUUAAAUGGAGGCUCCUGAGAUUGUUUCAUCAGACUGGAGGAUACUUCUCCAAGAAGUAAGAUCUUUGUCCACGUAUGCAGCCUAAAACCGACGUCUGUCUGUCUGUUGUGUGGCAGGUUUGGAGACUUGCCGAGCCCAGGCUUUCAGGUUACGUGGAAGUCAGACUCAUUUUAAAGAUGGAUAUAGGUCUGUUUUUACCUAUUUCCUUCCAGUGCCUUCGCGGGGCCUUUUUUUUUGGCUGUUGUCCUGGGAUGCAGUUCGUACGUUUCAUGCCAAAGUACGUUCAUCCCUCCGAGACAGAACGAGUCUCCUUCCUAAGCGGUGCGAUGGCUGUGUGGUCCCGUGGUAUUCAUGCCUUCGUGGUAUUGUUUGUGCCGAUAAAUGUGGUACCUUCAGGCAUUUGGAAAUUCCUCCAAAAGAUGAGCCAGACUUUGUCUUUUUUUUUUUUCUUUUGCGGUUGUUGCUGAUUUCUUUUAAAAUGGUUUGAUUUGAAAGAGGUAUUGAGCAUAUUGUGCAUUUAACUCUUUAACACAUUUAUCGGGACGCUGUUGUUUUCACAGUAGAUUAAAACUAAUUAAAUAAUGAAUCAUACAAAACACAAUGAAUGUAAAUUAGGCCACAGGCCACCUGAUAUACUUAAAAAAAUAUUAAAAUGAGCUAUAAUAUUUAAAUACUACCUACUAUUCUAUAAUAAUGAUAAUAAUGAUGAAUUAAUAUAAUAGUAUUUGAAGCUUAAACAGCGUCUGAGCCAUUUUGCGUCAUACUUUUUGUACAGAUUUGUCUGAUACAUAUUGUUACUGACAUAAAGUUUGGAAUUUUCACUGUAACAGCAUUUUUUAACUGUCCUGUUACCACUUUCACAAAGAAUACUCUCAUGCCUCUGAAUAAAGAUUAGUCUGACUGGUCAUACAGUUUGGUUUUGUUGUUGGUGCUCUAACAAAAGUCGUCAUUGACAAAUGUUCGCCCUAAACCACGCACGAAAAUAGCAUCGCCCCUGCCGGGGUGAUUUCGCAGCAAACACAAGUGGAUGUCACAAGUCACGGCGCCUCUGGAAAGCCCGUGGAACUAUUUCAUCACGGUGAACAUGGGGAUUUUAUCAAUGUUAAAUAAAUAAUUAAAUGAACUGCAGU